UUUGUGUAAGUCCACAGUGUUAUUUUCUUUCUCUUUCUGUUUUGAAUUGGGCUUGAACCAAAAUUAAGGAUCCAGCCCGUUUCUUUUCGAAGGGCCACGCAUGUUGCCCUCAUUCCGCCCUUUUUCUGUUGCUUUUUCUUCAUCACGAAAAACCUAGAAGCUUCAGGCUACUGCCUUUCUCUUCAACGCAGAAGAUGCAUCUUUGGUGGCGAGAGCACGGAGCGGCGCGACGAGGAUGUCUUGCCGCGGUGGAUUCCGUGAGGGUUCAAACUCCUGUUUAUCUCUUCUCUCUUUCUCGUGGGUAACCAACCUGGAUGGGAGCAUCGCUGGAGCAGCGAUAUCAGUGAGGGGGCGGCGACUGCACGGUAGAGGCGCGUUGAGGGCGUGGUAUUUUCUUCGUGACGGCGUGUGUUGCAGUGGCGACUUUUCGCGGCGCAAGGAUGGAGGCCUUAUUCUUCUUUUCCUCCUCUUCCAAAUCUGCGUUUUAGCAUUUGGGUUGGUUUUUGAUUUUCUCUGCAGGUCUGGGUUUCGUUAAUUUUGGGACUUAGGAUUCCGAUUGCAAAGGUUAGGGUUUGAAUUGGGAAAAAUUAUUUUGGGGUUCCGAUGCUUGCGAUUGCUGUGUUCCGUGAUGGUGGUCGGAGUCGAGCGAGUGUCGUGGUGGUGGUUGCAGCUAGGGUUGCAGUGGCAAGCUGUGUUGGACUGCUAGGCUUGCAGACUAGCAUUGGGUUGUGGUUUGGGACUGACAGAUUAGGGCUGAGUUGACAAUUUUGGAUUCGACUAACUAUUUGGGCUGCAGGCCCAAAUGUUGAACAGAAACGUAAACAAUGGACAAUAAUAAUCUGAAUUAAUUGGGUUAGCUAUGCCGUGUACAGAAUUCAUAAUAAAUUCAUAAUUAUUGACUUUAAUUAAUAAAAUUAAAGUGUACAGAAUUCAUAAUAAAUUCAUAAUUAUUGACUUUAAUUAAUAAAAUUAAAGUGUAAAGGGAAGAUGAAAUCAUUAAUUUAUAAUAUUAUUUGUUAUGAUUAUAGGAAG
rnacentral:lncRNA from 1 species